rnacentral:rRNA from 1 species
CCUACGGGAGGCAGCAGUAGGGAAUAUUGCUCAAUGGGGGAAACCCUGAAGCAGCAACGCCGCGUGGAGGAUGAAGGUUUUCGGAUUGUAAACUCCUUUUGUUAGAGAAGAUAAUGACGGUAUCUAACGAAUAAGCACCGGCUAACUCCGUGCCAGCAGCCGCGGUAAUACGGAGGGUGUAAGCGUUACUCGGAAUCACUGGGCGGAAAGAGCGCGUAGGCGGGAUAGCAAGUCAGAUGUGAAAUCCUAUGGCUUAACCAUAGAACUGCAUUUGAAACUGUUAUUCUAGAGUAUGGGAGAGGUAGGUGGAAUUCUUGGUGUAGGGGUAAAAUCCGUAGAGAUCAAGAGGAAUACUCAUUGCGAAGGCGACCUGCUAGAACAUAACUGACGCUGAUGCGCGAAAGCGUGGGGAGCAAACAGGAUUAGAUACCCUGGUAGUC